CCUACGGGGGGCUGCAGUGGGGAAUAUUGCACAAUGGGCGCAAGCCUGAUGCAGCCAUGCCGCGUGUGUGAAGAAGGCCUUCGGGUUGUAAAGCACUUUCAGCGGGGAGGAAGGCGUUAAGGUUAAUAACCUUGGCGAUUGACGUUACCCGCAGAAGAAGCACCGGCUAACUCCGUGCCAGCAGCCGCGGUAAUACGGAGGGUGCAAGCGUUAAUCGGAAUUACUGGGCGUAAAGCGCACGCAGGCGGUCUGUCAAGUCGGAUGUGAAAUCCCCGGGCUCAACCUGGGAACUGCAUUCGAAACUGGCAGGCUAGAGCCUUGUAGAGGAGGGUAGAAUUCCAGGUGUAGCGGUGAAAUGCGUAGAGAUCUGGAGGAAUACCGGUGGCGAAGGCGGCCCCCUGGACAAAGACUGACGCUCAGGUGCGAAAGCGUGGGGAGCAAACAGGAUUAGAUACCCCAGUAGUC
rnacentral:rRNA from 1 species